rnacentral:rRNA from 1 species
UACGUAGGUGGCGAGCGUUAUCCGGAUUUACUGGGUGUAAAGGGCGUGUAGGCGGGUUUGCAAGUCGGGUGUGAAAGAUUCGGGCUUAACCCGGAGAGGUCAUCCGAAACUGCAGAUCUUGAGUGCUGGAGAGGAUAGUGGAAUUCCUGGUGUAGCGGUAAAAUGCGUAGAGAUCAGGAGGAACACCAGUGGCGAAGGCGGCUAUCUGGACAGUAACUGACGCUGAGGCGCGAAAGCGUGGGGAGCAAACAGGAUUAGAUACCCUGGUA